UAUAGGAUUGGAGAGGAUUUUUUAGCAAGAAGUUUCAAAGACAUGUUUUGGGGACCUCUGAGACUUAUUCAAACUUGUUGAAAAGGAGCAUAAUAUGUCCCCUUUAAACUUUGCACUGUUAGCAAAUUGCCAUUUUUCCUUUGCUAGCUGAGGAUGGAGUGGAAGUGUAAGUAUUGUGGUUUUAUUUGUGGAAAGAGGGCGCAGCUUUUUAAACACUACAACAAAACAUGGUAGUUACACAGGGACAGUACCAUUUCCUGGUUUGCACCAGGACUGUUUGUGCACAUUCAAGUCCUUAAACAGCCUUAAAGCACAUAUAUCUCGUAUACAAUCUAAAACUCACAAAGAACAACUAACAGAAAACGAAACUGUAAAAUUCUGCUGUCAGUUGUGUGAUUUCAUUGAGCCCUGCUCUGAAUCAGAAUUUUUCACCCACCUCCGAAGUAGACACUUGAAAGUUAACCAAAAGGUUCAGUGUCCAUAUGCAGGCUGCAGAUUUGAGAGCAAUGUGUAUUCAACAAAGGAAUGAAGUGGUAAAGGACAAGCCUGCCAUCACCGAGAUAUGUCAGCGUUGGCCAGCUCUCUUACCUUAACAGCAGGUGUGUCUGGAGUUCAGUAGGGUUGUUGGUAAAAGCCUGAAACAAGAGUUCUAUGAGGCCCUUGAUCAACACAGUCCCAGGCUCAUUGAAAUCUUCAAGGCAAAGAGGGGCCUCACAGGGCAGGUCUUGGCCGACCUGAUGGAACAAACGAAGCACCUGAGGGAGCACAGAGACCAAGUCCAUAAGGCAGAACACAAUAGGAGAAUAUUCAGAUCCAAAUGACUGGUAAAACCUAAUGUAUGCUGACCUACAUUUGUUGAUGAAAGAGGCACAAGCUUUGGUGAGGGUGGCGCGGCAGAUGACCAGGUGGAUGCCAUUCUGAGUAACUGUCUGAGCAUGUCUGACGACCUGAAUGCCAGGACCAUGCUGCUCACCCUUAGUGACACUCUGGUGUUCUCAACUUUUCCCUGUGUGUUUUUCUUUCUGAACGUGUGUGUGCGUGUGCAUUGCAUUCACACAUGAGUGUUUAUUUUGGUCAAUGAUGGCACAGUCCUUCAGAUGCAGGUCAGAGAUAUAGAUAGUCUUGACUUGCUUUGUAUGUCUUCCUAAUGUCCUAAUGCUUGUUUUGACUCUGUGACAAACACGGGCCACGUGUCUUGGAGAGACACUCAGUCUGGCUCCUGUUAUGUCGAGACACUGGACUCGUUAUGUAAAACUAUUGCUUCCAAUGAUGGUUAGCACUUUUAAUGCCUCUGCGCCGGCGACAGCCAGGACUGGAGCAUUAUGUUUUCAGGUUGUCCCUUGGCCCCAUUCCCUUUUUGAGAGACUUUCUUCAAGAAUGUCACACACAUUCACUUGGACUCAAGGAUGCACUCAUAAGAUUUUGGUGGACAAAGGUCACAGUGACCUCACCAAACACAUUUUUUUACCUCUUGAAUCAAGACUGCCUUGAGGGCAUUUCUUCAGAUUUGGCAGAAAUAUGGAUGAACUGAUUAGUCAAAGGUCAAGGUCACUGUGACCUCACAAACACGUUUUCAACCAUAACUUUUAAGAAAUUCAUACAUUUUAACACAAAUAUCUAACAGGAUAGAAUAAUGAAGUCAUGACAUUUUAUAUCCCAAAGGUCAACUUCAUUGUGACAUCAUAAUGUACAAAAUCACUUCUGGCCAUUAUUCAACACUGUAACUGAGGAAGGGGAGAUUGUGACCAUAUUUCCUGCAAUUUGGCUGGUUGGCAGAGGCAUACAACUGCGAGGCGGUAAUUCUAGUUAUUUUAUGCACUGCCACAUCUGAUUAUUGAAUUUUCAUUAUUGACCUGGAAAUUAGCAAUCUGCCAAAACAAUCUGCAAGCAAAUGCCUGGUUCCUUUAACUUCCUGCGGGAACUUUCGGACCAAAACACCGGGGUAAAGCUUGAAUACUUGGUUGCACCUUCAGUAAAUCUAUUUUAACACCAUAUGUCCUGACUGUAUAUUUUCUUGGGUUUUUAGUAGUUAACAUCUUUUCUAAAUUAACCUUUUUAACGAUGGGGAUCAUCUUGAAGAGGAAAUAUUUAGCUACGGUGUUAGGUUAACUUUUUUUCAGUGUCACAUAGCACCUGUCAGUUCUUAAGAGGAGACGAUCAAUGUAAUGUUCAGUGUGUCCUGCAAAGUGGUUUUAAAAGACAUAUCCUUUGCUGACUGUUAUUUCAAGUUACUUAAAUAUAUUCUGAACAAAAUGUUAUGUGGAGUUAUUUGGGGAGAAUGAGGGUGGAGGCAAGGAAAGACAUGACCCACAGUGUUAAAUGAAAUAAAAGGGGGGUUGGGGGGUCCUUUGUGUUCUUUUCCAGUAAAAGUUAAUGUGCAUCUGAUUCAAAAUGUCCCCACUGAGAGCGGAAGCAUCUCUUCGUUGUCACAGCUGUUUUCUGCAGCUGCACAGUCCAGCUCCAUUUGGCAACAUACACUGUUCUAAAGUUAAUCUAAUGUAGUACACAAGAGCUGGCCUGUGCAAGCCUGUGUGAGUCAUUUGACAUCCUCCCCCCCAUACCUCAUGCCUGUAUACAAUAAUGUGUACACAGAGUGCAAGCACAGCAACAAAACCGGGAGUCAAUCAGAUUUGGCUUGAGCCUGAAGACCGCUCUUAAACUUUGUAACUUUGUGAAGAGGCUGCUGCAGCCUGAUAAAGUCUUCUCAGUAGUGAAAUAAAGGAAUUAAA